rnacentral:lncRNA from 1 species
ACAUUUGUUAUGACUGGGAUUUUGGGGUGGCGCUCCGAUAUGCAUCCAGGGAAUUGUAAUUACACCAAAAUGGAUGGUUUUUUUGCUUCUUUUUCUAUUCUAAGGAUUUUUAAGAUGGAAUAUCUGAAAAAUUUAUCUUGACGUUGAUCUCGUAGACGUUUCGCAGAAGAGAGACUUUACUGCUCCUCUUGUCUUUUGGUUUGUUCAACAGGAAGGUCAGAGAGUGAGAUGCAGAGCGGUGCGCUUGCUGCCUCCUUGUGUUGCUCAACGCUCCAACAGAGCUUCCUGUGCGCGCCGUUUUCCGCUCAGGGGGACACUCGGUCUGGAUUCAGUCAGCGUGGCGGCGUUUCUUCUCUUACAAAAUUAAAUAUGUGUAAUUGAUGGUUUCAUAAACAGAGCUAACCUUGCCAGCAGCAAUCGGGAGCUGCCGUGAGGAGGUUCACGUGAAUAUGUAUUGUGUCAGAGAGGAGCCAGCAACUGCAUCCACAGGUCCGCAGGUUCUUCGCUCACAAUGAGACAGAGGGGAGGCGGGGGGAAGAGAUGCACGCUGCGAGAUAUCGACUGCAGCAGUCUUCUCGCCUCGUAACACAUGACAUAAUGUCUCCUGCAGACAGCCUCAGACAGCGUUGUUCUGAGACAACAACAUUUUCCAAGGAGCUCCCAACAGUAGUUCAACAAAUGCCGACCGCCAUGAUGUGACGCAGUCAUGUGGGAGCGUCUAGCAGACCAAAAAUAAAGUGGGUGAGGGCGUGGAACACAUAGUUACUUUGUUUCCAUAAAUGAUCCAUCUGUUGACAUGCACUUACAAUCCAAUUUACAAUGUUUUGUGGCCAUCUUGGUUAUGGGCCAUCUGCAUACCUCACUUUUAGAAACAC